rnacentral:rRNA from 1 species
UACAGAGGGGGCAAGCGUUGUUCGGAAUUACUGGGCGUAAAGGGCGCGUAGGCGGCCCGCUAAGUCGAACGUGAAAUCCCCAGGCUCAACCUGGGAACUGCGUCCGAUACUGGCAGGCUUGAAUCCGGGAGAGGGAUGUGGAAUUCCAGGUGUAGCGGUGAAAUGCGUAGAUAUCUGGAGGAAUACCGGUGGCGAAGGCGGCAUCCUGGACCGAGAUUGACACUGAUGAGCGAAAGCCAGGGGAGCAAACGGG